rnacentral:rRNA from 1 species
UACGGGGGGAGCAAGCGUUGUUCGGAUUUACUGGGCGUAAAGGGCGCGUAGGCGGUCAGCACAAGUCAGUUGUGAAAUCUCCGGGCUUAACUCGGAAAGGUCAACUGAUACUGUGCGACUAGAGUGCAGAAGGGGCAACUGGAAUUCUCGGUGUAGCGGUGAAAUGCGUAGAUAUCGAGAGGAACACCUGCGGCGAAGGCGGGUUGCUGGGCUAACACUGACGCUGAUGCGCGAAAGCCAGGGGAGCGAACGGG